GCCUGGGUGGCUCAGUCAGUUGAGCAUCUGCCUUCUGCUCAGGUUGUGGUCACGGGGUCGUGGGAUUGAGCCCCACGUCAGGCU
rnacentral:tRNA from 1 species